GGUCGUAUUUUAAAAGAAAUGUUUAGAAUGUUUCAAACUCGCCGGCGUUUACGGAUUCGCCGGAACCCCGUCAAAGGAUAUUUCGUUGGAAAAAUGCUUUUGUUUUUUUUCGUGUUUUUUUUUUAUUAACAUUUUCCGUAGCUGCGGAAAACGCUCGAAACUGCUGCAAUAUUAUCUAAUUUCGCAUUAUGAGUACGUGCGCGCGUGAUACGGUAGCGUAUUAUACAGAGUGUUCGCGUUUAUUUGUUACAACCGAAUAAACAAAAACAAAACAGACGAACAUACUUCGCGCGUGGGUGCGGCCACUGUUGCGGGCGUGAACUCGGGAAGGUAG